AGUGAACGCUGGCGGCAGGCCUAAUACAUGCAAGUCGAACGGCAGCACAGCAGAGCUUGCUCUGUGGGUGGCGAGUGGCGGACGGGUGAGGAAUACAUGGGAAUCUGCCCAGUCGUGGGGGAUAACGUAUGGAAACGUACGCUAAUACCGCAUGCGCCCUACGGGGGAAAGCCGGGGACCGCAAGGCCUGGCGCGAUUGGAUGAGCCCAUGUUCGAUUAGCUAGUUGGCGGGGUAAAGGCCCACCAAGGCGACGAUCGAUAGCUGGUCUGAGAGGAUGAUCAGCCACACUGGAACUGAGACACGGUCCAGACUCCUACGGGAGGCAGCAGUAGGGAAUAUUGGACAAUGGGGGCAACCCUGAUCCAGCCAUGCCGCGUGAGUGAAGAAGGCCCUCGGGUUGUAAAGCUCUUUUGUCCGGAAAGAAAGCAUCUGGUUAAUACCCGGGUGUUCUGACGGUACCGGAAGAAUAAGCACCGGCUAACUUCGUGCC
rnacentral:rRNA from 1 species